GCCGCGGUAAUUCCAGCUCCAAUAGCGUAUACUAAAGUUGUUGCGGUUAAAAAGCUCGUAGUUGGAUCUUGGAAUGUGUUCAAGCGGGUCAGCUUCUGGCUGUGCGCUGCUUGACGUGUUCUUCUAUUUGGUUUUGGUGCGGUGCGCUUAACUGCGUGUCGCUCCCGGCCGAAACGUUUACCUUGAAAAAAUUAGAGUGUUCAAAGCAGACCUGUUUGAGUCUGAAUAUUCGUGCAUGGAAUAAUGAAAUAUGAAUUCGGUUCUAUUUUGUUGGUUUUCGGAACUCGAGUUAAUGAUCAAGAGGGACAGACGGGGGCAUUCGUACUCUGCCGUUAGAGGUGAAAUUCUUGGAUCGGCGGAAGACGCGCAACUGCGAAAGCAUUUGCCAAGAAUGUUUUCUUUAAUCAAGAACGAUAGUCGGAGGUUCGAAGACGAUCAGAUACCGUCCUAGUUUCGACUGUAAACUAUGCCAGCUAACGAUCAGACAGAGUUCUCUACGACUUGUCUGGCAGUUUCCGGGAAACCAAAGCGUUUGGGUUCCGGGGGAAGUAUGGUUGCAAAGCUGAAACUUAAAGGAAUUGACGGAAGGGCACCACCAGGAGUGAAGCCUGCGGCUUAAUUUGACUCAACACGGGGAAACUCACCCGGCCCGGACACAGUGAGGAUUGACAGAUUGAGAGUUCUUUCUUGAUUCUGUGGGUGGUGGUGCAUGGCCGUUCUUAGUUGGUGGAGCGAUUUGUCUGGUUAAUUCCGAUAACGAACGAGACUCUGGCAUGUUAAAUAGUCGCGGAAGUGCGUAUGCACUUGCCGAAUUGACUUCUUAGAGGGACUAGUGAUUUUAAUUCACACGAGAUUGAGCAAUAACAGGUCUGUGAUGCCCAAGG
rnacentral:rRNA from 1 species